AAAUUGGCAACAGAAUUCAACAAGAUUAAGAGUUCUAUUGCAAUUGAUCUGGAUAAGAGUUUGUAAGGUGCUCCUUCAUCAACUUCUACUUUUUGGACUCGAUCGACUUCUACUUUCUGGAUAAAGGCUGUUUUUUCAUUGAAAGGUGUUCUCAGGAAUAAAAGGACGGAAUUCCUACUCAUUUAGAGAUCAGUUUGUCCACUUCAAUGUCAGCAUUCCCACG